AGUAUAUAUAUGUAUGUAUGUAUGUAUGUAUAUACUUACUGUAUCUAAUUUUUUUGCUAUUUAAAUACUGUCACACUGCAGAGAUGUAAUGUGAAGCAGUCCAUUUUAAAGGUGCUGAUUCCAGUAGGAAUUAUCCUCGAAUAUGUUAUUAGUUAUCAAAUUGCCAAAUGCUUUGGUAACGAUUCAUUUUGGGGGCACACACCAAGCAGAAUAAAACCAAAUAGAAUUUUCUAUAUUUCUAAAAAAACCACCAAAAGCCCAACAACAAAAACCACUCAGAAAUAUUACAGGUAUCAUGGUAUCUUUCCCAAUUUUACCUUGAAAUAAGUGAUAGAAAUACACAGUCCAAAAUAUAGUACCCUGUAGCAUAUGGAAUAAUCUGUACCUAAAAUGGCCUUUCUGUGAUAUAGGUAUUAUUGCAGAAAGUGAUAAGGAAGCGUGCUGUGAAAUUUUCACCUGGUUUCCUUCUGGAAUGCCUUGCUUUGCUUUUGCUAAGGAUUAGAGUGACUGUACAAAACUCUUAUAGAGUUAAAUCUUACUAUUACACAAUUGAAUAUUCUAUAGGUAAGGAAGAAAGAUGUAGCAUUUGAAGUUUGAUGGUAAUCAGUAAGUACAAAACCAAAAUAUAUAUCAUGCCUCAGUAAAGAAAAAGAUAUUCUUGAAAAUGUCCCCACUUCUCUGUUUCCCUCCUUUCCACUCAUAUGUAUUACCUAUGCUAUCUGAUGUUAAGGGGAAAUAUUUGUGAGAGAUGAUGUCUUGGUUAAGUCAGAUCUGUGAAAACAAAAAAUGAACAUGCAAACAAACAAAAAACCCCAGCACAUGAAAUAAAAGCAAUCUGUGAAGUCAACUUAGAGUGAAUAUUUACAUUGUGAGAAGCUUGCCAGUGGCAUUGAACAACCCUGUAGACUGCUCAUUAGUACCAACAGAGAACCACUGUUUGUCUCCUUUGUGUGUUUUAGAAACUAUUAUACUGUAAUCUUGAAAGCAGAAAAUUCUCAACUGGCUAAAACUCUUUCAUAUCAAACAUUGCAAUAGAACUGUGUAUUUGCUAGGGUGUAUGAAUAAAGAAGAUCAGAGGCUGCAGAGGGAGAAAGAGAUAGGGAAAAGAGGAGGAGAGAGAGAAAAGAAAAAAUGAGCAAUUUUUCAAUGGGGAGGGUAUGGAGAGGUUUUGUACAGAAAAUUAUUUCACACUCACCAGUUCUGAUUAAAACCUGCUCAGUUUGCAUUCACUGCUUCUGCUCUGGUUCCAGAAUAUAUAAAUACUGAGAUUUUUGGGUGGCACUGAAACCCCUGUCCAGGACUCCAGGCUGUGAGGAAAAUCAAUGAAUGGAAAGAGAGCUGAAAGCAAGCAGUGGGAUUUGGAGUAGCUUCAGUGAGAAGUCCCUCCAGACAUUUUCUCUUGGGCUUGUUAUCCUCCUAUUUUUCAAUUACUGGAAUAGAUCUUUGCAUAUGUCUACUCAGUGAAAGAGCAGAAAAUUUAUCUGGUAACAUCAAUCCUUGCUGUCUUAGUGUACCAACAGAGAUCUCAUAAAUAAUUUUGUAAAGUCCAUCCUCUUUUCAUAGUUUUUAGUUUGAAGUGGUCCUUAUCUAGUGCUAGUUAACAGAGUUAAAUCCUUCACUAACCAAACUCUAACACCAUUGAAGAACAAGAACAAUGAAAUAAUUGCCAAGUUUUUAUUGAAAAACUAUAUCCAAAUUGCCACAAUUCUUAAAUCCCCAGGCAAUCCCAUUUUAGUCCCUGAAAGACAUUUUCCCCUUGUUUUUCAGUUUGCCUUACAAAAUACAUCUCAAUUUUAAGACUUCAAUUCAGUAGACAUGUUCAAAACCUGAACUGAAACACCUUCCUACUCAGAGGGACAGGAUAUUUUAUUUUCUACUAUCAGGUACGUACUGAAUACAAAUUUUUUCAGUUCACUUACAAAGAAUUUUGCAUGGUAUGGAAGAACACUUUUGUCAUAAAACUUUAAGAAAACUGACAGGUUUCUCACUGAUUUAGUCAGUAGAAGUAUUUCCUCUGCUUUCAAAAAGACUAGGACUUAAGCCUUAAUUUCCAGUCAGUUUUUGUAUGUAUAAAUUUUUAGUAUUUAGAAAAUGGUAAAGACUUGAAAACAAUCUAACAAAGUUCUUAACUUAGUGAAACUUAAAUAUUCUGAAGCUUUGUAUUCUCUCUCUUUUUGUGUAUUGUUUUAUUGAGUGUUUUUGGUAUUGCUUUUGAUUUUUUUUUUAGUUUUAAAACAUUAGCACUUCAGUUUCUCUACAUGCUGAAUGAGUAACUGCUGAGAAUGAGAAGUUAUAUCUUAUAGAUCUCUUUAGUUCACAAACUGAAGUUCAGCAAAUGUGAGGUCUUUCCGCACUUUUCUAUCAUCAUGCAUUUAAGCUUUCUUUUUCUUAUUUUUAAAUAAAGUUAGAAGCUGUGUUCUGAACUUGACAUCUGCAAUGCAAAAUAUAAGAUGUGAAAAAGAAAAGUAGCACAGGAUUAAAAGCAACAACAAAAAAUACAAAUAAAAACAAAAGAAAGCUAUUUAAAGAUACAGAAAUAUUUUAGGAAACAUAAAUUUUACUCCUAACUUGGAUACAAUUUAGAGAUAUAGCAGGAAAUAGUUCUUUGUCUUUUUUCAAAGUUAAUAAAGGUCUACAUUAAUUUUUACAUGUUAAGGGAAACUUGCACAUGUAAUUUUCUCUUCUCUGUCCAUUACCUCCAUUUUGAGUAUAAUAAUUUGCACUGCAACUGAAACUAUACAGUCAAGAAUUUCUCUGUAUUACAUUGUAUAUUUGAAUUUGUUUAGAAAAUAAAAACCCAUUAAAU